rnacentral:misc_RNA from 1 species
GGGUCGAUGAAGAACGCAGCCAGCUGCGUGAAGUAAUGUGAAUUGCAGGACACAUUGAACAUCGAUAUCUUGAACGCACAUUGCGGCCUCGGGUAUUCCCGAGGCCACGCCUGUCUCAGGGUCGGUUGAACCUAUCUAUCGUCGGUUGUCCGUAUUUGCCGACGCCUUGGACCGUCGCGGCGCGUUGACCGUAAAGCGUAAUCGGCUGACCGUAAUUGCCGAGAGCGCAGCGCGCCACGUCGUCCGAAGUACAGACGGGUCUGCCGCGAUGCUUUGCCGACCGGACGUCCUCAAUCCGCCUGUCGAUCGGACGGGGACGGCGACUCGGACCGUAAAGAGUAGCCGUUGUCUGUCCCGGCGGUACGGUUGGCAUAGCGUUGACGUUCGGCGGGCCCACGUAAGAAGCGAGCGUGCGUGCGGGCGGACGGAUGGAAGGACGGUUGGACGGGCGGGAAACUGCCUGACCGACUGGCCGACCGACCGACUGCCUGCGUGCGCGCCGGUAUUACACUGUCUUCGACCUGAGAUCAGACGAGAUUACCCGCUGAAUUUAAGCAUAU